GUAUGGUUAAGUGACUAAGCGUACACGGUGGAUGCCUUGGCAGUCAGAGGCGAUGAAGGACGUAUUAACUUGCGAUAAGCCCAGAUUAGGCAGUAAAAGCCACUUGAGUCUGGGAUUUCCGAAUGGGGAAACCCAACUGCAUAAGCAGUUACUGUUAACUGAAUACAUAGGUUAACAGGGCGAACCGGGGGAACUGAAACAUCUAAGUACCCCGAGGAAAAGAAAUCAACCGAGA
rnacentral:rRNA from 1 species